AACGCGAAGAACCUUACCUGGGCUCGAAAUGUACAGGAAUCCAGUGGAAACACCGGCGCCCCGCAAGGGGCCUGUAUAUAGGUGCUGCAUGGCUGUCGUCAGCUCGUGUCGUGAGAUGUUGGGUUAAGUCCCGCAACGAGCGCAACCCUUAUUACCAGUUGCCACCGGGUUAUGCCGAGCACUCUGGCGAAACCGCGCGGGAUAACCGCGAGGAAGGUGGGGAUGACGUCAAGUCCUCAUGGCCUUUAUGUCCAGGGCUACACACGUGCUACAAUGGUCGGUACAAACCGUCGCAAACCCGCGAGGGGGAGCUAAUCGGAAAAAGCCGGCCUCAGUUCGGAUUGGAGUCUGCAACCCGACUCCAUGAAGCUGGAAUCGCUAGUAAUCGCGGAUCAGAACGCCGCGGUGAAUACGUUCCCGGGCCUUGUACACACCGCGCAUA
rnacentral:rRNA from 1 species